rnacentral:lncRNA from 14 species
CGGGAAGCUGGAUGCCAGGAGAGCGCAGCAACCCGGGUAGGUUUGGAGGCACCCCACAGCAAGGGGUACCCCUGAACUGGCCCAGAGCCCACACUGGCAGUGGGACUGGAGAUGCAGAGGGGUUGGGCAGAGGCACACCCACCACAGCAGCACCCACCUCAGGAGUGGCCCAUGGGUCUCUGCAGGCAGCCCCCACGCCCCAGCAGGAUCCCCGUGCGGAGGAAAGGGGCAGUGACUGGGCAGAACGCACCAGGGCUCCACACCAACAGCACCACAGCCUACCAGGCCAGGACAUUCAGCCAGGACAGGCCACAGGCCUCACAGUCUUCACCAGGGCUCUGCUCAGAGCCCCCUGCACUCCCCAAGCGGGUGCAGAGCACCGAGGGACUCCUCCUGUGUGGGGACAAGUUCCUGCACCCCCAGGUAUGGCCCUGCAGGGCUGCACUGCGGACGUGGGGACCCCUGCCCAGCUUUGUCCUGCACUAGCAGGGCCCGGGCAGGGGCCACGGUCCUGGGGAGGGGGCACCAUUCUCCCUGCCCCAGCCCCUCUGCUCCCUCACAGCAUCCAGCUGCAGGCCCUCCCUCGCUCAGCUCCUACCGGCAGCUCCUCUCAUUCUGCACUGAAGCCUGACCGUGCUCUGGCACCCCGGACCCCCAGCGUGGGGCAGGGCUGGGCUCCCCCUGCCACGGGCCUUGGCCGGACUAAAGCUGCAGCGCUGCCCAGGAGCCCUGUCUGCUGCCGCUGCACCAUUCACCCCACACCGUGCCUACGCCUGCGGCGGCCACCCCUGCUGGCCCACAGUAGCUCCCAGUAACAGCAGGCUCCCACUGGGGACAGCCCCACUCCUCCCCGCGGGACCGGCGGAGGGGCCUGGCACAGGAGGGAGGGGUCAGGGAUUUUUACACCACACGGUUUCGCAUUGUAUUACUGUGUUUCCGUUAAAGUUUGUUUGGAAGAAGCCUGGCCUCUUGUCUCAGCUCAGCACCGCUCUGCUGUGGUUACCGUGGGGCAGGGCAGCGGGGGCAGGUCUGCGGGUCAGCCAGUCCGGGGGUGCUGGUGCGGUGCAUCCCGAGCCGGCCUCACUCCUGCUUCUUGGGGUUGUUGACGGCCACGUAGUGGUAGAGCACGACGAGGAGGAAGAGCGACACGCCCAGCAUGUUGGCGAAGAUGGCGAGCUGCACGUCCGUGAUCAUCCUGCCGGGGGAUCGCGCUGCCAGACACCCCAGGGACCUCCGGAGACCCCAACCCCGCUGCGACCUCCUCAGAGCCCCCAGCCCCUGCCCGGACAUGCCAAGGCACCGUCCGCCCGCCCGCGAUACCGCCGGGCCCUCACACUGGGCUGUGCCUCCCCACGGACCCGCGCUCUGCCGGUGCAGCCCCAGUGUCCUGCUGGUACACGCCGGGACCCCCAGUGCUGACCGCCCCGCGUGAGGCAGAGC